GAUGAACGCUGGCGGCGUGCUUAACACAUGCAAGUCGAACGAUGAAGCUCAGCUUGCUGGGUGGAUUAGUGGCGAACGGGUGAGUAACACGUGAGUAACCUGCCCUUAACUCUGGGAUAAGCCUGGGAAACUAGGUCUAAUACCGGAUAGGAGCGCCUACCGCCUGGUGGGUGUUGGAAAGAUUUAUCGGUUUUGGAUGGACUCGCGGCCUAUCAGCUUGUUGGUGAGGUAAUGGCUCACCAAGGCGACGACGGGUAGCCGGCCUGGGAGGGUGACCGGCCACACUGGGACUGGGACACGGCCCAGACUCCUACGGGAGGCAGCAGUGGGGAAUAUUGCACAAAGGGCGAAAGCCUGAUGCAGCGACGCCGCGUGGGGGAUGACGGCCUUCGGGUUGUAAACCUCUUUCAGUAGGGAAGAAGCGAAAGUGACGGUACCUGCAGAAGAAGCACCGGCUAACUACGU
rnacentral:rRNA from 1 species